GGUGUCGCUAUGGAAACGACGCUGCGUUAUGAUCGGUUCUGAAACUGCGGGGCUUUCGAAUGCUCUAACGGUGUUUCCCAAAUAUUUGCAUACCAAGUCCCACCUCAAGUACAUCUAUAAAGACCAACAUUAAAAGUAGCGCAAUAGGCCCAAGUGUUCAUCAAAAACGAGCCAGAGGUUUUAGUGUAUUUAAUAUUCUUGUAAGCCACUGUCACAUUAUGCAGUUUGAACAUUAACACUCUGUUUCAAUAUAGCAAAAUGUAAAAAAAAACUAGACUUAAAUUCAAUAAAAAAUGUUUUGCAUAUAAAACAAAACUAAAUAAAUGGUACCAAAAUAAAUUCAAACAACAUGUUCUAAAUGAUUCAACGCAAAUGUGUUGUAUUUUAAAGUUAAAUACUAAAACUAAACUGUACUUCAAAUAUGCUGUUCUGGUUUUCAAAAAAAAAGUUGAAGCCGCUGUAACAUUAUACACUAUUUGAGCAUUUAAGUGCAGUGCGUAGCCUCUGUCACCUCCUAAACUGGAAUUCUGCAUUACAACAACAAGCCGUCGCUUUGAUAUGAUGUAGGCGAUGCCUAGCCCCCACCUCUGCACCAUGUGAUUCUAAAACGCUUUUAUUCCGUUUUGAAGGCUAGCAGGUACGGAGAAAAGACGGAUUCUUUGGAAAAGCUCGAUCUCAUGGCACUGGAGCCUCUCUCGGAACUCGGGACUGUCCACGAACGAGUCGCUGAACUCCAGCGUCGGCAGACCCAUCCUGGCUAAACGGACGGCGACGCGAAACAAACUACGCCGAAAAGGACGCCGGUCGAGACUGCGCCGAGGAUAGCUACCCUGAAAACAAAACAAAAAAAAACAAAAAAAAUGGAAAUGAACGACAAACUCCGGUGGCGGAAGCUCUAACAGGCUUCCUCGCUCACAACUUAGCAGAUGCUGGAAGUGUGAGGGAGGCGCAGGUUGCAACUUUGGUGAAAAAUCAUUCAAAGAAGAAUCGCUUGGCAAAGAAUGUGACGCUGCUAGCUAAAGGAGCCUCUGGUGGAGGGCGGCUGGUUACUAUGGGGACGAGAGACUCCUGCUGGCGCCCGGUGAAAUUUGAGCAAAAUACACACCACUACCACUUUUCGCUAUGUUACGGAAACUACUACAACUGCCACUACUCACGCCUAACUAUUAUAUGGAAACGACUACUACAAUUCCCUCUUGCUCCACUACUCACUAUUAUAUGAAAAAUACUAGCUACUACUACUACUAGUAAUACAAUUAUUAGUCAUUUUGAGUACUGGGAAGUACAAUACUAGUAUUAGUUGUAGUACUAAAAUUACAAGUUGUAGUAAUGUUAGUUGUAGGGCUGAAUGUUGUAGUUGUGGUGAUAGUAAAAGUAUUCAUUUUACUCAGAGUAAUAUUAGGUGUGGUGGUAAAAGUUGUAGCAGAAAUAGUAUUGCAGUAGUAGAUCACUUCACAGUAAUAGUAGUUGUCCAUGUAGCUUUGGGAACUAGUAGCCCAAGUACUGCUAAGUCCUGUUAGAUUCCCAUAGUUGUAAUAUAAUGCUGUCUAUCUAAUUCCGACUAAAUGUAUCAUCAUCAUCAUCGUGAAAUGUUAUGAGUGUAAAAACAGUAACAUGACAUGUGUUUGCUCUGAUAUCGUAUUAUCUUUCAAUAAAAUGUCACAUGUCAGUGUA